AUUGAACGCUGGCGGCAUGCCUUACACAUGCAAGUCGAACGGCAGCACGGGUGCUUGCCCCUGGUGGCGAGUGGCGAACGGGUGAGUAAUACAUCGGAACAUGUCCUGUAGUGGGGGAUAGCCCGGCGAAAGCCGGAUUAAUACCGCAUACGAUCUACGGAUGAAAGCGGGGGUCCUUCGGGCCUCGCGCUAUAGGGUUGGCCGAUGGCUGAUUAGCUAGUUGGUGGGGUAAAGGCCUACCAAGGCGACGAUCAGUAGCUGGGCUGAGAGGACGACCAGCCACACUGGGACUGAGACACGGCCCAGACUCCUACGGGAGGCAGCAGUGGGGAAUUUUGGACAAUGGGCGAAAGCCUGAUCCAGCAAUGCCGCGUGUGUGAAGAAGGCCUUCGGGUUGUAAAGCACUUUUGUCCGGAAAGAAAUCCUUGGCCCUAAUACGGUCGGGGGAUGACGGUACCGGAAGAAUAAGCACCGGCUAACUACGUG
rnacentral:rRNA from 1 species